rnacentral:lncRNA from 12 species
CGAGAAUUCCCAAAUUUUCAGAGGAUGCCCCCCCAGAGACCUCCAUGGAAUGAGCUGGGGGCAGUGAGGCUUUAUUUGGAACACGAAUUUGGGAGUGGGUGGAUCCAGCCCCAAUCCCAUCCCAAUUUUUUGGGAAUGGCCAGAGGCUCUGGGAGAUCUGGCUGUGGGUCUGGGAAGAGCCAGCACAACCUCUCCACCCCAUCUUUGCCAUUCCCUGUGGGGAAAUUUCCCAGCCCAGCCUUUGGGAUGCAGAUCCCAAGGAACAUCCAUCCCCUGCCGCCAUUCCUUGAGGGGAGAAUUCCCAGUCCCAGUCUUCGGGAUGCAGAUCCCAAUUAACUCUGACAUUCCCUGCAGGGAGAAUUCCCAGUCCCAAUCUUUGGGAUGCACAUCCCAACUGACAUCACCCCUCAGUGCCAUUCCCUGUGGAGUGAAUUCCCAGUCCCAGCGUUCGGGAUGCACAUCCCAAUGAACAUCCACCCCCACUGACAUUCCCUGCGGGGAGAAUUCCCAGUCCCAGUGUUUGGGAUGCAGAUCCCAACUAACAUCACCCCUCAGUGCCAUUCCCUGUGGGGAGAAUUCCCAGUCCCAAUCUUCAGGAUGCAGAUCCCAAUUUAUUCUGUCAUUCCCUGCAGGGAGAAUUCCCAAUCCCAAUCUUCGGGAUGCAGAUCCCAACUAACAUCACCCCUCAGUGCCAUUCCCUGUGGGGAGAAUUCCCAGUCCCAAUCUUCAGGAUGCAGAUCCCAAUUAAUUCUGUCAUUCCCUGCAGGGAGAAUUCCCAAUCCCAAUCUUCGGGAUGCAGAUCCCAACUAACAUCACCCCUCAGUGCCAUUCCCUGUGGGGAGAAUUCCCAGUCCCAAUCUUCAGGAUGCAGAUCCCAAUUAAUUCUGACAUUCCCUGCGGGGAGAAUUCCCAGUCCCAGUGUUCGGGAUGCAGACCCCAAGGAACAUUCCCAACCAGGACCGCGCUCAUCCCUGGCUGGUGCCGUCCCCGUCCGCGCCGAGCAGCGCUUCCCUCUCCUCUGCGCUCCCGCUCCCGGUGCCGCUCCCGGUGCCGCUCCCGGGGGGGGGGGGGGGGGGGGGGGGGGGGGGGGGGGGGGGGGGGGGGGGGGGGGGGGGGGGGGGGGGGGGGGGGGG